CCAUGGUGGCGCGCGGAGGCGCCCGCGCGCUACUGACGCGCGCGGAGCGACGCCAGAUAGGCGUUGUACGCCUCCAGCUCGGC
rnacentral:tRNA from 1 species